rnacentral:rRNA from 1 species
AUUGAACGCUGGCGGCAUGCCUAACACAUGCAAGUCGAGCGGACGGACGGAGCUUUCUCCUGGAUUCUGCUGCGGACGGGUGGGUAAUGCCUAGGAAGCUGCCUGGCAGUUGGGGAUAACGUCCGGUCACGGGAGCUAAUACCGCAUCCGUCCUGAUGGUGAACGGGGGGGUUCUUAAGUCCUCGCGCUUUCAGAUGUGACUAAGACGGAUUAGCUAGUUGGUGGGGUAAAGGCGUACCAAGGCGACGAUCCAUAACUGAUCUGAGAGGAUGAUCAGGCACACUGGAACUGAGACACGGUCCAGACUCCUACGGGAGGCAGCAGUAGGGAAUCUUCGACAAAGGGCGAAAGCCUGACGCAGCCAUGCCGCGUGAGUGAAGAAGGUCUUCGGAUCGUAAAGCUCUGUUAGUUGGGAGGAAGAGAAGUGUGAUUAUAUGUGGAUGUUUUGACGGUACCAACAGAAUAAGCACCGGCUAACUUCGUG